rnacentral:rRNA from 1 species
CCUACGGGCGGCAGCAGUGGGGAAUAUUGCACAAUGGGGGAAACCCUGAUGCAGCGACGCCGCGUGAGUGAAGAAGUAAUUCGUUAUGUAAAGCUCUAUCAGCAGGGAAGAAAAUGACGGUACCUGAGUAAGAAGCCCCGGCUAACUACGUGCCAGCAGCCGUGGUAAUACGUAGGGGGCAAGCGUUAUCCGGAUUUACUGGGCGUAAAGGGAGCGUAGACGGCAGUGCAAGUCUGGAGUGAAAGGCGGGGGCUCAACCCCCGGACUGCUCUGGAAACUGUACGGCUGGAGUGCAGGAGAGGUAAGUGGAAUUCCUAGUGUAGCGGUGAAAUGCGUAGAUAUUAGGAGGAACACCAGUGGCGAAGGCAGCUUACUGGACUGUAACUGACGUUGAGGCUCGAAAGCGUGGGGAGCGAACAGGAUUAGAUACCCGGGUAGUC